rnacentral:tRNA from 1 species
UCCCUGGUGGUUAAGAGGUUAAAGCAUCUGCCUGCAAUGCGGGAGACCCAGGUUGGAUCCCUGGGUUGGGAA